UACCGGGGGAAAGCUGAUCGUGGGCAUGCACCACAUAUGCGAGGCGUACCAAGCAGUACGUUGGGCAUACGUGGCUCGAGUCUAAAACCCUAAUUUUAGGGCAAGACCCUUAUUUAAAUGUUGUUUAACCAUUUGGACCUUACCCUAACCAGCCUCCAUUACUUUCAAGCGUCCCGAAAACCCUAAAUCCUUUGUAAGCAACUCUUGAGCUUGAAAGUGCCUCAAAUACCUCAUUUUUGGUGUGUUAGUGAUGUGCACAAAAGUACUCACUAAUUUUAAUAUUUAUAACCUAACAAACUUAACUAACUAUGCACUUAUAGGCAGUGUACCUAGUCAGAUUACAGUAUAGCGUGGGUAAGUCGGGUGUCGAUCACAGGGAACGGUGUUCUAAUUAAUUUACUUACUAUUAAAUUAACCUAAUUUAUUAACAAGUUUAAUAAGGGGUUUUAUCUGGUUUUACAAUAUCAGAUGAACUUAAUUCAAAUUCAAUAAAUAAAAACAUACUCUUGUUUAGUUUUGAAUCCACUUCUCCCUUAUGGCUAGCUAAUGAUUACGGAUUAUUAAGUUGGGUUUUUAGUUGUAUUAGUAAUUUAGUUCUAUCUUACCAAUAGUUAACUAAUUCAUGUCAAACCAUGUAUGUUCACACAUAAUUAAACACAAAACUAAUUAUGAAUGUAAAUAUGCUAUGUAAGAUUUGUUGUAUAAACGCAAUUAUGGUCACAAUACACGUUCUCUAGCACAACUAAGCUUUACUUAUUCUAAUUACUAACUAAGAUUAGUCAAUCCUAGCUCUAACGAUUCAAUGUUCACUAAAUUAUUAGGUAAACAGGUUCAUGCAGUUUAAUGGUCACCAAGCUACACAGAACAUGCAAUCAAGCAAUUAGAUAAACAAAUAAUAGCAUGCUAGGUUAUACAAAUCAAACACAAGCAAUUUUUUUUACCAACUAAACUCAAUCCAUAAGCAUAUAACUAUUCAUAAGUUCAAAGCUUCAUCUAGCUAAACAAGAGUAGCUAGAUUCAGCUGCUCAUCAUAGCAACUAAACCAACACAGCUAAAAAUAAUGAAAGACAUGUUCUUAUUUAACUAAAAUAUAAACCUUUACUUCUUUUGGUGUUGAAAACCCUCUUCCAGAACCUUUCUUUCGCUCUUAAUCGUCUCCUGGAACUCUUUUCUUCUGCCAAAAGCUUCUCCUUUUCGUAAUAAUCAGGAGGACUUAUAUAAUCCUCAAAAACCCGCGCCACGUCGUGGCCAGAUGUGCCACGUCGUGGGCUUCAAGCAAUCCGUAUCCUUCAAGGAAAUCCUCCGCGUCGCGAUGUUUAUCUUCUGGAACACCCGUGCCACGUCGUGGGCUUCAUCGCCACGUCGUGAAUUGAGUGUUUAUCGUGAAUUUAUUAUUUUCUUGUCUUUCAAGCCUCCCAUGUUCCACAUUUUGGCACUUUUGGUCCCUCUCUUCGAAAAUCCUUUAUAUUGACUGAAAAUAACAAUUUAAAGUCAUAAGUAUCAUUAUUCUAAACAUAUUAUCAAUUUAUUAAUAAAAAUGUACUUAAAUAUUGCCUAAAAAUAAGUAUAAAUAUGGCAAUAUCAAAAUACCCCACACUUAGGCUUUGCUUGCCCUCAAGCAAAUUUAAACUUAAUUCUUAAUUACUAACACCACACAGAACAAUCCGACUCUAGUUCAGCCAUUAUGCCAAGACCUCAACGCAUGCUUUUGUGUCUAAAAUUUUCCUAAAGUACCCCCCAUACUUUAAAUACUCACAAUCUUCAUAAACACUCGCCCACUUUUUCCGAACAAUGCUCAUUUUAUGCAACCCUCCGAAUCCAUCCGCAGAAAACCUCCUUAUCCUCAAGGUAUUUUUAGUUGAGCAACCUAAGCAUACAUAAUCUAGAAUUACAAUUAUCGAUACCACUAUGGAGCUCUUUUGGAAUUCUUCAUUUCUUUGACAUUUGAUCUCUUUGAAUUCACCACCUUAUUUGAUUUAAUUUCUGGUAUCUUCAACUUUUGAAUUUCUUGGAAUUUUGAUCUUUUGAUCUUCACUUUAUUUGCUCCAAAAUUCUUCACACUUUACUCGUAAUUCUUUUUUUUUUAACAUGUACCUCACUUUUUUCACUCAAAACCUACAUGCUUAAGCAGAGGCGCUCAACCUCAACCUUUAUCGGUUAAUGAUAAUAAUUUUCCUGGAUACAUUUCAGGUUUAGGCUGCUAAACAUAUUGCAUCCCUCAAACCAAGCGGGGUUGUGUUUUUGUUCCAUGAUUUCACUAAAAUAAAGGAGGCCACAAAUGCACUAUAACGUGUAUUGGCUCAACUAAACAUUUGAACUUUCAUCGGAUCAUCCCACAUAAUACUAGUAAUUAUAGCUCAAAUUAUUACUAGAUUCAAUUAUUCAAAAUUUUCAAAAUUUUUCAAUUUUUAUUGUCAAAUUCUAUGAUUUUCUAGCAACUUACUUUUUCUACCCCUACCCCACACUUAUUUCAUACAAUGCCCUCAUUGUAUUCAUAAAAAUAAAUCAAAAUUAAAGAAAAGGGAGAAAAAGGAACAGACUCCCCUGGGAUAGUGGCGUGAGCAUCUCCAAAAGUGUGGAAAACGUGCAAUUGGACUUCCAAAAAUAGAAACUUGGUGUAGAACUGGUUGAAUACGUAAAUAAACCACGAACAUGACUCGAAACUUCAAUUCCUCAAAGUGGGUAUUUGUAAGGAAAAAUGUGACAAUGAUAAACUGGGUCACGUCGUGAUAGGUAAUUGGCCACGUCGUGAUAUGAGUUGAAACCGCGAACACCAAAAUGCUGAAUUUCGUCAAACUGCAAGAGUGCCACGAUGUGGCGCAAGGAUUCCACAUCGUGGAAACUGGGCAUCAACAGAAAAUGGCUUAUUUGUUUUAUUUAGUUUAGCAACUUUGACCAAUGGUUAACUGGUUUCAGUCGCUUCUAUGCAAAUAUAUUUCCCAACUAUAACAUCUCUCCUAAUAUACCCCACACUUAUCUUGAAUUGUGGGUUCCAACUCACGACUCUAAGCUUCCUUGACUGGAAAAACACGACUCGAAAGUUAACCUUUUAAGCUCCUUAGAAUUCCAAUGCUAAUCUGAAAAAAAAAUGGACAACCCAAAAAAAAUAAAAAGUAACAUCAUAGUUUAAUAUUGUUUUACAUCACACACCAAAUUCAACAUAAAAAAAAACUACUCAAAAGAAAUAAAAUCAAUCAUCAUCUUGAUCUUGUGCUCCACUUAGCCCUGCCCCAUCAUUUUGCGGACGCCAUAGCUCCUCCCAUGUCGGAAAAUAGGGAUACUGUGGUGGCAUAGAAGGUGGUCGGGUCACACCCAAAUGCGAAUAAAUACCCUCAGUAAGCUGGGUAUGGUAAAUGGCAUGCCCCCGUAGAUUAUCCAAAUACGUUCCUACCCGACUCUGAAAAGGGUCAGUGGGCACUCCCUACACAUACUGCGAAGCAGCACGCUCUCGCUCGAUUUCACCUCUAGCCCGCACAUUCCGAAUCUGCGGUCUGGCUGGUGGUUGCUAUCCCGGCUGCACCUCCUCAUGCUCGUAAUCUAUCGGCGGUAUAACAAAACAACCCCCGAUAUUCACCACCGCCCGCAUAACACCCAAGACUUGAAUGGUCAAGUCUGUGUCCGGGAAUCGAGUAAGAUUCCUCACAAAGUCAUGGGUCAAAAUAUGAUAUGACCUAGCCAGGCGAGUAACCAAAUGCCCCCCAGUAAUCGGGCUCCCAGGCCUAGAAUUGGCCGCUUUCUUCCCCAUAAACCUCGCCAACAUAUAAGGUAAAUCACAGCAAACUCCCGGGGUAAUAAGAGUCCAUAAAUAAAACAGAUUCUGAAUGGGGACUUUAUCACCAUGAUGCUUGUGAUUUAUUGAAAAAGUGAUAAGGCGGUGCAAAAAUCGGAAAACAGGAUUCCGAAUUUGUGACUCACUCGAGUCACGAGUGUUGUACUCAUGGUUAGAAAUGCCCCGCCAGAACUGCACAUCCAUAGUACCGGGAGCAAAAUCCCGAACACAUCCAAGCAAGAACGGAAUGAAAAACGGAGAUUGCGUCUCCACUUCUGUAUAGAGCCCCAUACGCCAAGCAAAUUCCCGAAGACUACACUCUCUAUACACACCACCCAAACGAAACACAAGUGCCCGGUUGUAGGUGAAAUCAAGGGUGCGUUCCUCGAAGCAUACGGUAGAGAAAAACUCUACCGACAAUUCCCGGUACACGGGUUCUUGAAUGGCAAAUAAAUUCCUCCACCCGUGACAAGUGAAAGAAAACUGAUCUCCAACAUAAGUCUUCGACCAAUAACGUCCCAACUCAGCUACCAUUCCCACUCCACCAAGCCAUCCCCAAUCGAUAAUUGGGGCUAUUGCAAACUUCCUAUUAUAUAGCCAUCCAAGCCGAUUCUCGUAAGUAGUUAGCAACAGUCGGGGAAUGUUUUGAGGAAACUGGUAUAAGGGAUGUAUGCUUGCUACAUCUAUCGGGUUUUCCUCCUGUGGAACAGCUCGUCGUGGUCCCAUUUCAGCAUACAAAAGAAAACCAAAGCAGCAAACAACCAACACAUUAAAACAAUUUAAACCUGUUUCACAGAAGUCACGACGUGGCCAGGCUACGCCAUGUCGUGGGCCGCGAUCGGUCACAGUUUCUAGAUCGGUCUAUGUGCAUGCCGUUUCUACUAAAAUUAAUGCUUGGGGUUUGUUCCUAUAGACAUUUAAGGGAUAUUUAACCUAAAAUCAACCACUAUAUUCAACCAAUUUCGUAAAUCAUAUCAACCCUAACCAUGAAAACUUGAAAUUGGAAGAACUAACUACAAAAUAAUGAGUAAAACACAUACCAAGUGGAUUAAUUGGCAAGAUGUUGCAAGGAAAUUGGAAGUAGAUUAAGAAAUUAGCUGUGGGGUUAUGAUGUUCCCGUUCGUGCGGCAGUCUCCAAAUGGGGAGUGAGAAUUAUCGGUCAAAGGGUUUUAAGAAAUUGGUCCCCCCUGAUUUUUAAAGGCCACGACGUGGCUUGCUAUGCCCACGUCGUGGAAACUUAAGUCUGCUUUAUAAUCGCGUGUUUUCAUUUCGACCCACGACGUGGCUAGCUAUGCCCACGUCGUGGAAACUGCCAAUUGCAACAUUUUUAAUGGACUCUAACAUAUUAACUAAUUACUAUGCAUAUCAUUCAUUAUUUAAAGUUCCCUACAGCUAAUUCUUUACCAAUUAUCAGUUUUUAGAUGAUGAAUUGAUGUUUUUCCUAAAUAAAAGCUAAAAGAAAAGAAAGAAAAGAGAAUUUUUUUUUUUAAGGAAAAUGCAAACCAAACUCGGGUUGCCUCCCGAGAAGCGCUUCUUUUUUCUUGGAGUCUUGAGCUGGACUCCGUGCCUCCUACGUUGAAUCUUCAGAAGAGUCUCCCACCAGAAUAUUUUGUUCCUUGAAUCACCGUUUGUACGCUUGAACUCUCCUUUUAUACGCCUUCUUUGAAUUUUCCUUUUUAGCUUUUCCAUCUUCUUCAAGCUUGCGUUUUGUGCCCUUCGUUUGUUCCUUGCAUUCCAUAGCAUUCUCCUCCUCUUUCACCACUGGCUUUGUUACUCUUGAAGUGACUUCCUCUUCAUCACUUGUCAUUUCCUCGUCCUCUUUGCUCACCCAAGAAGGCGGGCUCUUGUAAGCUAUGACUUCAAUCAAAUACAGAACAGAUGCCCUUGGUUUUGUCCUCUUGACUUUAUGAACUGCCUUUAUCUCUUCUUCCAUAAGCUUUUCCAGUUCUUCUAGUUCAUUCUCUUCAUUAAUUGUGAACACCUCUUCUUUAUCUUCUUGAAAGUCAUCUUUUAUCCCAAAGACUUCUUGUUCAUCCCCAACCCUCAAAGUGAGCUUGGACUUGCGGAUAUCAACUAGGGCUCCAGCAGUGUUAAGUGGCCGGCCANUUCGGAUCUUCUUUCAUGUCCAAGACUACAAAGUCUAUUGGAAAAACAAAUUUUCCAAUUUUCACCAAAAUAUCCUCCACGAUGCCGCGGGGUUGUGUCACCGAACGAUUCGCCAUGUGAAUCUUCAUUUUUGUAGCCUUCAUCUUCUGAAUCUCCAAUUUUUGAUAAAAUGAAAAAGGCAUUAAAUUAAUGCUAGCCCCAGAAUCGGCUAAAGCAUUAACCUUCAUUUUAUUCCCAAACUCACAUGGAAGAGUGAGGCGUCCAGGAUCCCCCAUUUUUUCUGGUGUUUCUCCCAACACAGCUUUUGAAGUUUGUUCACUUAGAAUCACUGUAGACUGCUUCUUUAAUUGCCUUCGCGUAUCUAUCAAGUCUUGCAGUAAUUUCUGGUUCUCGGGAGCUUUGGAUAAGGACUCGACAAAGGGGGUAUUAAUUGGGAUCCCUUUCACAUGCUUUACGAACUCCAAAUGUUCCUUCUCCAGUUGACUGAGGGUAGCUCGGGUGGGAAAUGGCAGAGGUGGAUGAUAAGCUGGAAUGGGUUCAAAGGACUUUUGAUCAUACUUGCGCCACGUCGUGGCCAGCCUGGUUCAACACUUUCUCCAUUUUCGAUCCUUGAUUUCUUGAGCUGUUGCGGUUCUUCUUCCAAUCCCUCCAAGAACUCAGAUAUUGCAUCUUCUUCAGUAUCGAUGGUCAUUACGUGAGAUUGGGUCUUUACUUCGGGAUUCUUCGGGGACAAUUUUUCAUGAACUAGAGCGGCUAGUUGACCAAAUUGUACUUCAAGGUUAUGGAUGGAGGCUUGCUGGUUCUUUAUCAAAGUUUGUUAUUCCAUGAUAGCGGAAUCAGUGGCAUCGUGUCUCUUUUCCGAAGCCUCCAUAAACUUCAUCAAAAUGGUCUCUAGGUCGGGUUUCUUCUCGGCCGGUGACUGCUCCUUUUGAUAUAGGCCUCGACCUGUCUGCCUAUAUUUCUCUUCUUUUUGCCUCUUAUACUCUUCAUAUGGCAGCCACUCCUUCUUCGGUUUCCUCCAGUCCUCAUCAAAUUUAUCCCCACUAGAGUAGCACACUUGAGCUUUUCUGUUCCCAAAUUCAUCUACAUUGCAGUCCUUGGUCAAGUGUGGACCACUGCAUCUCUCGCAACCCACUCUUAUGGCAUGUAUCGACUGGUCCAUUUGUGUUAUCCUGCGAUCCAUGUUAUUCAGCAUGGCCAUGACAGCUGCAAUUUCUUCAGUUUGGGCCCCUCCACCGCCUUUGAUUCCAUCUUGCCUUGGGUUGUGGUAUUCGCGAGAGUGUUUCGCGAAUUCUUCAAUUAGCUCCUUGACCUCCCUUGGAUUUUUCUUUGUCAACGGUCCUUGAGAAUCAAGGAGUUGUCUUGUCAUCACAUUGACCCCAUCAUAAAAGAUUGACAUCUCUUGCUGCACAUUUAGGUCAUGUUGAGGGCAAUUUCUGAGCAAGCCCUUGUACCGCUCCCAUGCUUCGUAUAGUGACUCCCCCGGCUGUUGCUCAAAGUUGGCUAUUGCCUUCUUGAGUUUGGCUAUCUUGGAUGGCGGGCAAAACUGGUCCAGGAAUUGCUCACGCAUUUGAGCCCAAGUGGUGAUUGUACCCGGUGGGAGUGCUUUCAACCACUCCUUAGCAGCUCCUUUGAAAGUGAUGGGAAGCAUCCUAAGCAAGACUGUGUUUCUGUUGACAUUUGGGACAUUGAAGUAAUCCGCAAUGUCAUUGACUUCAUCUAGAUGCUUAAAAGCAUCCUCAUGAUCUUUCCCGAAAAAUGGGAUGUCCUUCAGUGCUGUCAAUAUGUGUCCCUUCAGCUCGAAUGUGGCAGUGGCAGAUAUUGCGGGUUGGACUAAACCGGGACCCAUAUCUUCUCGGAUCCGCUUCUUGUAAGCUCCCAUGGACAAUUCUUCAAUCGCUGUCAUCUCGUUCCUUGGCUCGUUCUCGGUUUCGCUUGUGUGUUCUUCAAAUUCUGGCUCGGUAUCGCUUUCGGACUCGGUCUGGACGGGUGUAUGUUCCAAAUGCUCAAGAUUGCUCUUGUGCUUCGCUGAUGAACUUGACUCUCCUGUCUUCUUUCCCGACUUCCUAGAAAAAGCUGACUUCAGUUCUUUCAAGGGCGUUUUUUCUUGUGAAGUGCAGACUCGGGGUCUUCCAGUGGUGGCACCAAGUGUGUGUUUGAGCUUCUGGUCAUGAACUCCUGCAACUUGCUAAACUAAAAAAAAACGUAAAACUGUACUAAAAUAAGAAAAACUAACUUCAAACCAAAAAAAUCUAGUUUUGUAACUGUCCACGUCGUGGCCAGAGUGAUGCCACGUCGUGGACUCUGUGAAUAAUAGAAAAAAUUAUUUUGCUGAAAAAUUAACUUUUUGUGGGUUUUUACUCCACAAGAAGGAUCGAUCAAUUUAAUGCAAAUAAAUAAGCUAAAAACUAAGCCGUUCCACGGCAACGGCGCCAAAAACUUGAUGUGCACAAAAGUACUCACUAAUUUUAAUAUUUAUAACCUAACAAACUUAACUAACUAUGCACUUAUAGGCAGUGUACCUAGUCAGAUUACAGUAUAGCUUGGGUAAGUCGGGUGUCGAUCACAGGGAACGGUGUUCUAAUUAAUUUACUUACUAUUAAAUUAACCUAAUUUAUUAACAAGUUUAAUAAGGGGUUUUAUCUGGUUUUACAAGAUCAGAUGAACUUAAUUCAAAUUCAAUAAAUAAAAACACACUCUUGUUUAGUUUUGAAUCCACUUCUCCCUUAUGGCUAGCUAAUGAUUACGGAUUAUUAAGUUGGGUUUUUAGUUGUAUUAGUAAUUUAGUUCUAUCUUACCAAUAAUUAACUAAUUCAUGUCAAACCAUGUAUGUUCACACAUAAUUAAACACAGAACUAAUUAUGAAUGUAAAUAUGCUAUGUAAGAUUUGUUGUAUAAACGCAAUUAUGGUCACAAUACACGUUCUCUAGCACAGCUAAGCUUUAUUUAUUC
rnacentral:lncRNA from 1 species